AUUUUUCCGCCCUUGCCAGUCAGUCAGUCGGGUCGCGAAUGUCCAUUCUGCGGGCUGCGGGUGUUUUUCGUCUGUGUGAUACGCCACAGUUCGCGCGCGCCCCAUAGUGCCGCAGAUAGUGUUCCGCGUGGCAGGGAGCUGCAGUUCAGUGUGCUGUGUUGAUAGUGAUCGGUUUUGCAUGCAAUAACGCCACAAAAAAAGAAUUACGGCAGACGCGUUACUGGUCGCCAAAUGCAGCAGCACCGUCAUGAGCUCGAUCGUAACGCUGUGAUCGAGAAGGUGCCUCAGGAAGGUAAUGGUGUGGCCUCAUGCAGGGAGGUGCAAAGAAAAUGCUUAAGCACCGUGUGAUUUACACGCCCGCGGGUCAAUAGCACCGAGUGAAAAAUCCACUGCCAUCCAUGCCACUUGUGUAUGUGUGUGUGUGUGUGUGUAGGUGUGUGUGAACCGUGACAUUGCGUGAACGUGAACUUGAUCUUGAUGGGCAAAACGUCGAUCGGUCGAAGGUUUCGCAGGGAACGUACAUGUGAAAAAGAGACAACAUAGUUGUAGUUUGAAUUUUGAAGAAAACAUUAAAAAACACCCCUUUGAAGGUCGUUGAAGAUUUGGUUGUGAACAGUUUUUCGAAUCGACGGGACACGGCCAGCCCAGAACAAACGGUAACGCGUCUCUGGGACACGGAUGAUGGGUUUGGGGAGGUGGGAGGAGGGCAUCGCUCGGUGUAUGUUGCGACGCAAAGCAGGAAAAGAGUAUGUCGCUUGUAAAAAUAAACCCCGCCGGUCUGCCGGAUGGUCAGCGUAAAACACAAUAACCGCACCGUGUGUUGUACGGACUAUGAGAGCAUCGCGCAGAGAGGGCAGGUUUUCCACCCCGCAGCAGAUAGUAUGCGACCGAUAGCAGAGACCGUUUGAGAAGGAAAAUGAAGCGGUAAACGGUGAAGUACAUCUUCAUUACGCUGACUGCGCUUUUUUGUGUUUUUUUUUGUCGAUGAUGAUCCGGUAGCAACCUCUCUUCCUGCUUCCUGCCGACAACUGUGUACAAUCUGAAAGCGAAAGCUGCCCGUUGUUCCCUAUCGAACGAUCGCCGUGAUCGUUAGGAACCCUAGUUUUCUCCGCCCGUCGUCCCGGUCGAUGAUGACGACACAUUCACUGGUGUCGGUAGGAUGCUGGGUGAUCGACGUACCGUUUGGCAUUUUGGCAGCUCUGGCACAAGCACCAGCCGCGUGGUGUGAUUUUUGUUUUGUUUUUGGCACCAAGUGUUUGGCACCAGCAUCACCACCACUACCUAGCCACUACUACUAGGCGUGCAUCAUCGAUGACGACAAUUGUAUCCUUUCAUGCACCGAUGUACAUGGGUGAACAAUGCAAUGCAUCACGUGUGAAGCAGUGUGCAGCAGUCUAUGGAUGUGAGCUGCAGGGCGUGCAAUAAGUGUAAAACGUUGUGCUCCCGACGGACAAGUACGGGAAGUUGCUGUGCGUUGCUUUCUCUCACGUAUCCUUCCGGGGUUAGUGUAAAGUGAUUUAGUGUCCUCCGAUUUCCCCUUUCACCAUCAGCACACCAGAGCCUGCCACCUAAAUACAAAAAGCCCAAACAAACAUACACACACACGCAGACACGCUGUUGUUGAAGACUGCAGUUGGAAUUAUAUGUAUGGUCGCUACACGAAGGAUCUAGGAGAAUACGCCAAAGAUGAAGCGCGAAGACUCAGGCUUCUUGAACGACGAAGAAAGAAAGAUGAUAAAGCAAGAAACAAGAUGGAAAUCGUUGCAGGAACUGUUGGACGUGCGGGACAACAAGUUCUUCAAGGCGGCAUCGUGGCUGUGGCGCAACACGUUCGCCCGGCUCGGUGAGGACUGGGUGUUCCUGGCGAUGCUGGGCAUCAUCAUGGCCCUGCUAUCCUACGUGAUGGAUAAAGGCAUCUCGAUGUGCACGAACUCACGCGUGUGGCUGUACCGCGAUCUCACGAACCAUCCGGUACUGCAGUACCUCGCCUGGGUGUCGCUGCCCGUCUGUCUGAUCCUGUUUUCGGCCGGCUUCGUCCAUCUGGUCGCACCGCAGAGCAUCGGCUCGGGCAUCCCGGAGAUGAAGACGAUACUGCGCGGCGUCGCGCUGAAGGAGUACCUCACGUUCAAGACGCUCGUCGCGAAGGUGAUCGGGCUGACGGCGACGCUCGGCAGCGGCAUGCCGCUCGGCAAGGAGGGCCCGUUUGUACAUAUAGCUAGUAUAGUGUCGCAGCUGCUAAGUAAGAUCAUCACAUCAUUCCAAUCGAUCUACGAGAACGAAUCGCGCAACACGGAGAUGCUGGCGGCGGCCUGUGCCGUCGGUGUCGGCGCCUGCUUCGCCGCCCCGAUCGGGGGCGUGCUGUUCAGCAUCGAGGUCACCACGACGUACUUUGCGGUGCGCAACUACUGGCGCGGCUUCUUUGCCGCGGUGUGCGGCGCGACCGUCUUCCGGCUGCUGGCCGUCUGGUUCCAGAAGGCGGACACGGUGACGGCCAUGUUUUCCACCAACUUCACGUCGGACUUUCCGUUCGACCCGCAGGAGCUGUUUGUGUUUGCGCUGAUCGGUCUCGUUUGUGGUCUAGGUGGCGCACUGUACGUGUGGGUCCAUCGGAAGUACGUGCUGUUUAUGCGAUCGAACAAAAAGAUGAACAAAUUUCUGCAGAAGAACCGUUUCCUGUAUCCCGGUAUUGUGGCGCUCAUAGUGGCCACGCUCUCAUUUCCGCUGGGCUUCGGAAAGUAUAUUGCCGGCGAGCUGAGCACACACGAUCAGGUGCACCAGCUGUUCUCCAACUUUACCUGGACCAAGCACGAGCUGACGGUCGAGCAGGCGGCCGUCGUCUCGAACUGGCGCACCCCGGAGACGAACGUGUUUGCCAACCUUAUUAUUUAUUUGCUCUACACGUUCUUCAUGUCGAUCAUCGCGUCAACCAUUCCCGUGCCAUCCGGUAUGUUCAUACCAGUGUUCAAAAUCGGUGCCGCGUUCGGCCGGAUCAUCGGCGAAGCGAUGCACCUGUGGUUCCCGCACGGCGUCCGGUACGGCGGCAUGCUGGCCCCGAUCAUCCCGGGCGGCUACUCGGUGGUCGGGGCGGCCGCCUUCUCCGGCGCCGUCACGCACACCGUGUCCGUCGGCGUGAUCGUGUUCGAGAUGACCGGCCAAAUCACGCACAUCGUGCCGGUCAUGAUAGCGGCCCUCAUCUCGAAUGCCGUCGCCGCCCUGCUCCAGCCGUCCAUGUACGACAGCAUCAUACUCAUCAAGAAGCUACCCUACCUGCCCGAUCUGCUGCCGUCCGGCUCCGGCAUGUACAACAUCUACGUGGAGGACUUUAUGGUGCGCGACGUGCGCUACAUCUGGAAGGGAAUCUCGUACCAGCAGCUGAAGGAGAUACUGAAGGCGAACAAGAGCCUGCGCAGCCUGCCGAUCGUCGACAGCCCGGACAACCGGACGCUGCUCGGCAGCGUGCAGCGCUACGAGCUGAUCAAAAUGAUCGACAAGCACAUUGGGCGCGAGAAGCGCCUCGAGGUCGCCGCCAAGCUGAUGAAGGAAGCGGAGGAGAAGGCCCGGGAGGAGCAGGAGCGCCAGAAGCGGGAAGCGGCCGAGGCGGCCAAGGCGCGCCGUCCCUCCCGGUUCGAGGUCGUGCCGGCGCCGGACAUACUGAAGCUGCGCGAGCGGGCGAACAACGAGAUGCUACCGCCGCUGGCUCGCCGCGAAUCGAACGCGUCGCUCACGAGCGGGCCCGUGUUUGGCGCGACGCAGCCGAAGAAAUCGAUCCUCAAGAAGACGAACUCGUUCACGCUGAAGGGCUUCAGCCCGCUGUCCCCGCACAGCCCCGUGCACACGCCGUACACGACGAUCACGGGCACGGAGAGCCGCAUCCGGUCCGCGUUCGACAUCAUCUUCCGCAAGUCGGCCACGCUGCAGGACGUGACGCCCGAUCCGGAGAUCGGGUCGAUCGGUACGCCCAGCAUUGUCGGGUCGGAGGUCGCCCCGCUGACGCCCGGCAUCUCGAAGAAGGUGCAGCUGCCGCGGGAGCGCGUGAUCGACAUGUCGCCCGAGGACCAGAAGGCGUGGGAGAUGGAGGAGAUGGCGAAGCCGAUCGAUGUCGGCAAUCUGCACAUCGAUCCGGCCCCGUUCCAGCUGGUCGAGCGCACCUCGAUCCUGAAGGUCCACUCGCUGUUCUCGAUGGUUGGCAUCAACCAUGCGUACGUAACGAACGUUGGCCGUCUGGUCGGCGUGGUAGCGCUGAAGGAGCUGCGAACGGCGAUCGAGAGCGUCAACAAUGGCACACUGACGCCGGAAACGGUGAAGGCCAAACAGGAGGAGGAAGCACGAGCACUUGCUCAGAAAGAAUCGGACAACAACAACGGCAUUUCGGCGGAAGAUCCUCUCCUGCCCAAGCGGCCCGGCGACACGUUCAGUGACAAAAAAGUAAAUAACACCAUCACCUCGAUGGACUCGGCACUGUCCAACUCGGACAACUGCUCCGACAUCGAGCUAGACAAUAUUAAUAUUGAUCACGGGGACACUGCAGCUACCACUAAUGGCACCAUCACUACCGUUACCACCAACACGCCCAGCACCAAACACACCAACAACCAUUCCGGUUCACAACAGCAGUAAAAAGGGGUGGCAGUGCUGGUGUUGGGUGCGAGCGGGUUGUCUAGAGGGUUUGUUGGGAAGGUGUAAAACGGAACCAAACGGGGACCAAUUUACGAUCAAGCACUGCGCGUUCAACCGUUCUAGUACCACCAGCAUCUCAAUGCAAUCCCGCGUCAGCAAGAAAAAAGACACUACGAUCACGACACAUACAUACUCUCACGCACACACCUACACACACCGAGGCACCCGGGAGAACAUACUGCAAGGGCAAAGGAUCUCAUUAUGCCUGGCGAGGGUGUCGCUAAAACACCGAUCACCGACCAACAACAACAACAACAACAACUACCCAACACCUCACAUCAUAAAUCCACUGCGAACAGAAAAGGCUCGAAACUGAAUCGACGGAAAGACAGACAGUGAAAACAUGGUGCCCGAAGCAGUCAACCCAUAUCCCAACUGGCACCGGUUGAACCGGAUGCACACUAUUGCCGGGACAGGCGCUGGAGAUGUCAAUGUGAUUUUGUACUUUAAGUAAUAGUGACUUCUUCCAGCGCGUACGUGUUGUCUGUGUGUGUGUGUGUGCUGGGGUGUGUUUGUGUCCUUUAGUCAUUAAAUAAUUUAACACCGAGCUUCACGUAGCGGUACGGCCAAACGAGAUCGAUAGCGAUGUUACCGGUGUAACUAAACGGGUCCGUUGGGUGUGGCAUGAUCGAGAGCUUCGUUCACGGUACGAGCAACCAGGUACCAAUAAUUUCUGCCCCAUCGUGGUGGUCGUAGUGAUUUUAGUGCCAAAUUUUAAGCAAACACGAAACCCGUUCUAGUAGGAAAUGCCAG